rnacentral:misc_RNA from 1 species
AAGUCGUAACAAGGUCUCCGUUGGUGAACCAGCGGAGGGAUCAUUACAGAGUUGCAAAACUCCCUAAACCAUCGCGAACGUACCCUUACCGUUGCUUCGGCGGAGCCCGCGCGGGCGCCCGCCGGCGGCACUACAAACUCUUUUUUAUUACAGGCCUCUCUGAGUAUUUAUACAAAUAAGUUAAAACUUUCAACAACGGAUCUCUUGGUUCUG